rnacentral:pre_miRNA from 1 species
CAACUACUCACUCUGUCCCAAAAUUCUUGUCUUAGAUUUGUCUAGAUAUGGAUGUAUCUAAUACUAAAAUGUGACUUGAUAUAUCCGUAUCUAGACAAAUCUAAGACAAGAAUUUUGGGACGGAGGGAGUACUUU